rnacentral:rRNA from 1 species
UACGUAGGGGGCGAGCGUUGUCCGGAUUUACUGGGCGUAAAGAGCUCGUAGGCGGUGUGUCGCGUCGGCCGUGAAAACCUGCAGCUUAACUGUGGGCUUGCGGUCGAUACGGGCAUCACUGGAGUUCGGCAGGGGAGACUGGAAUUCCUGGUGUAGCGGUGAAAUGCGCAGAUAUCAGGAGGAACACCGGUGGCGAAGGCGGGUCUCUGGGCCGAUACUGACGCUGAGGAGCGAAAGCGUGGGGAGCGAACAGG